rnacentral:rRNA from 1 species
GAUGAACGCUGGCGGCGUGCCUAAUACAUGCAAGUCGAGCGAACGGACGAGAGGCUUGCUUCUCUGAUGUUAGCGGCGGACGGGUGAGUAACACGUGGAUAACCUACCUAUAAGACUGGGAUAACUUCGGGAAACCGGAGCUAAUACCGGAUAAUAUUUUGAACCGCAUGGUUCAAAAGUGAAAGACGGUCUUGCUGUCACUUAUAGAUGGAUCCGCGCUGCAUUAGCUAGUUGGUAAGGUAACGGCUUACCAAGGCAACGAUGCAUAGCCGACCUGAGAGGGAUAAGCGCCCACAGGACACUGAGACGGCGCUCACACCCCCGCGGGGGACCAGUGUGGAGUAUUCCGCAAUGGGGGGGAACGUGAUGCGGCACAGCCACGCGUGGGAUGAAGAGGUUCUGAGCUUGAAAACCUCUUUUUUUGGGAGAAAAAAUUUGUAAGAGUAACUGGACACCUUGUCGGUGGCCAAUAAGAAAGCCCCGGCUAAAUACGCG